GGAAAGUUGCAAAGUACUUUGAAGAGAGAGUUCAAGAGGACGUGAAACCGAUAGGAUGGAAGCAGAUGAAGUUGACGAACGUGUGUCGUAUUCAAAAUCGCUGUCAGCGGUUUGUUUUUACGGCCGAUGUGGGCCGGCGGCUUUGGUCAAUGCAACGCGUCUAGCGUCGAUGGUGACCCUGCGGAGGGACAAUCAGUCGUCGUACGGUGCUUGGUAUGGCUAAGGUUUCGCCGGUCUUAAAGUCAGCGCCUCAUCUGACCCGUCUUGAAACACGGACCAAGGAGUGUAGCGUUUGCGCAAGUCUUAGAGUGUAUCGAAACUUUGAGGCGUAACGAAAGUAAAUGCAGUUUAAUCUGCUGACUUGGGAUGCGUUGUCUCUUGUGGACGGCGCUGGACCAAGGUUUUAUCGCGAUCGCUUGCGGUGCGGUGAAAAUAGAGCGUAAACGGUGCGACCCGAAA
rnacentral:rRNA from 1 species